AUAAAACCCAGCUCUAUGAACUGGUGGCCAUGAUGAUUUAAAUUUUCAUUGUGAGAUCAUCACCCCAACAUUCUAUGGGUGUCCUGGAAACCUUCAUGUACAUAGUGUCUUUGAGCUAUCCUAGUGAAGGUUGAUCAUUCUCUCUUCUCAAGGUGUGACCUGGGAUUGUACUGGCUGUACUGCAAGCACUUCAUGAAGAUGCCAUGUGCCAGCAUCCCUGUCCCCCGUCCUGGUGUUGCAUCUGCUACAGUGGCUGGGCAAGCAAGUGCUAUGACAAAGAAAUACAACACAGCAAUAAAGCAAGUUUGGAGAAUGAAAUUAAAGACAAAUACAAUGCAUAAAGAAUUCCAGGCCAGCAGCGUGGAGCUGCUACCAAGUGGGCUCCAGUCCUCGAGAGUGCCUCCGCGCAAGGCAAGGCUCGAACCAGGCUCUUCGCGGAGGGGCAGCGGCAGGAACCGGUGGAGGCCAGCGCACCGCGGGCUGCAUGGACAGUGGUGGACGCCAGGCAGAGGCGGCGCUUCUCUCCAGGCACACACGGAGUCCCAGAGGCUGUGGCUUCAGGACCCACUGCCCUCGCUGCCCCUCCCCGCGCCGCCGCCUCCCUGGUCACCGCGCCCAGCGCGCCAGUGCCCAGACUGGCCCUCGCCCCUGUGCCCCGGCGGGGUGGCCACCGCCAGAGCAGGCGCGAGGGCAGGAACCGGCCUCCGUGAUGAAGUUCAAGCCCAACAAGGCGCGGACCUAGGGCAACGCAGACUUCUGGAAGCGUCGGCGAGACUGGGCUUCAGAGCCAGCAACACUCGCUCCCAACACCAGUGCGUCGUCCCAGGAGGAGGAGUGGAGCCCGGGAGGAGCCUGGCGGUGCUGCAGUGA
rnacentral:lncRNA from 1 species